UACUAACACACUUUGUUUCUAAUGGAAAAUGAAAUAUACAGUUUUCAGUGGACUAUCCGAACGAUAAUAUCACGGCCGUUAGUGGAACCUACAAACGUGUUUACACCUAUGAUACGACUCUCAUCACAUCACUUUACUUCACAACCUCCAAAGGUUUCACCUCUCCAUUAUUCGGUAUCGACAGUGAAAAGAAGGGAACAGACUUCGAGUUCAAAGGUGAAAAUGGAGGAAAGCUUAUUGGUUUGCAUGGACGUGGUGGUAAUGCGAUUGAUGCCAUUGGAGCUUACUUCGACACCGGUUCACAAGGAGGUAAGGGCGGCGGCGGCGGUUCACAAACUGAUGUCCCCGGGAAGAAGGGACCUCUUGGUGGUGAAAAAGGAGAAGAGUUCAACGAUGUUGGUUUCGAAGGUGUGAAGAAAAUUACCGUUGGAGCCGAUCAAUACAGUGUAACUUACAUCAAGAUCGAAUACGUGAAAGAUGGAAAAGUCGAAGUCCGUGAGCACGGGACAAGUCGUGGGGAGCUACAAGAGGUAACAAAUGCGAAAUUUUGUCACACUAUUCAACUGGUUCGUUACUAAUAUAGAUUUGUUUCUAAUAAACAGUUUUCAGUGGACUAUCCUAACGAUAGUAUUACGGCCGUUAGUGGAACCUACAAACAUAUUUUCACCUAUGAUACGACUCUCAUCACAUCGCUUUACUUCACAACCUCCAAAGGUUUCACCUCUCCAUUAUUCGGUAUCGACAGUGAAAAGAAGGGAACAGAAUUCGAGUUCAAAGGUGAAAAUGGAGGAAAGCUUCUUGGGUUCCACGGACGUGGCGGUAAUGCUAUUGAUGCAAUAGGAGCUUACUUCGACACCGGUUCACAAGGAGGUAAGGGUGGCGACGGUUCAAAAACUGAUGUCCCAGGGAAGAAGGGACCUCUUGGUGGUGACAAGGGAGAAGAGUUCAACGAUGUUGGUUUCGAAGGUGUGAAGAAAAUUACCGUAGGAGCCGAUCAAUACAGUGUAACUUACAUCAAGAUCGAAUACGUGAAAGAUGGAAAAGUCGAAAUCCGUGAGCACGGGACAAGUCGUGGGGAACUACAAGAGGUAAUAAAUGCGAAUUUUUGUCACACUAUUCAAUUGGUUCGUUACUAAUAUAGAUUUGUUUCUAACCAACAGUUUUCAGUGGACUAUCCUAACGAUAGUAUUACGGCCGUUAGUGGAACCUACAAACGUGUUUACACCUAUGAUACGACUCUCAUCACAUCACUUUACUUCACAACCUCCAAAGGUUUCACCUCUCCAUUAUUCGGUAUCAACAGUGAGAAGAAGGGAACCGAAUUCGAGUUCAAAGGUGAAAAUGGAGGAAAGCUUAUUGGUUUGCAUGGACGUGGUGGUAAUGCUAUUGAUGCAAUUGGAGCUUACUUUGACACCGGUUCACAAGGUGGUGACGGAGGC
rnacentral:lncRNA from 1 species